CUGCGGCUAAUAGGAACGAGUUACAAAUAUUCCCAUGGGAUAUCCCAUGUUAUUUGCCGUGGCCAUUCCCCUGGCCAAGGCCAUAUCCAUGCCCUCCUCCACGGCCACGACCAUGUCCACCACCUCCACGACCACGCUCUCCCCCACCUCCACCACCGUCCCCAUCCCCGCCUCCUCCUGCCCCGACAACGAGCUGCUCGGCUAGUGACAAAGAAAAGGUGAAGACGUGCAUGUUCAACACAACUUCAAUUGAUGCAUGUUGUCCGACAUUCAAGAGCAUACUUGGCACUAG
rnacentral:lncRNA from 1 species